AAGUCGUAACAAGGUUUCCGUAGGUGAACCUGCGGAAGGAUCAUCGUAGGAUUUGUGAUAUCCUGUGGGUAUUAUCUUUUCCAGAUCCCAACCAAGAGAGGAGUUGACUGAGGAGGUUUGGUUUGGAGAAAAGGACAAAACUUUCAACAACGGAUCUCUUGGCUCUCA
rnacentral:misc_RNA from 1 species